UCCACCUCUGAACACCUACUGACAUGCAGAUGUACUAAAGCCAGGUUAAAGCCACACUCAGUGCGAGUCCUGGUGGAUGAACAGCUGACGGUGCAGGGAUGAUCACGCUGGGCAAGGAGUCCAGCUUCAGUGCUCGGCGACGGGCGAGGCAGCCUUCACAGUGUGGCUUCAGCAUCUCUCCUCGGGAGCCGGAGUGUUUCCCUCCCCCUCAGGCCCAGCUGGCCUUGUGAGAGGAUGCAGUGGGGCCGGGAAGCCAGUCCUGAGCCCGGGCCUCAGGAAGCUUCAUGUGCUGCCAUCUGGGCCACUGGAACCCUUCCAGCCUCCGUGCGCUGGAGGGUGAAAGCCAUGUGGAGUAUGGAAGAGCCGCCCACCUGCGGCCACGUAGGCCUGCCAGCCCCCGGCCGACCGGCGCCGACCACAGCUGCAUGCAUGAGCUCAGCCCACACCGGAGGACCGCCCGGCCCAGCUCAGUUCCGUUCAACUGCUGCUGCCCAGAACUGUGAGUGAAUAAGGUGGAUGCUGUAAGCCAGUAUGUUUGGGAAUGUACCUUGCAAAUCGGUAUUACGUAUGCACACGCGUGCGUGUGUAUGUCCGCCGGAAGGUGUUACCGCAGUGAGGCUCAGCUCUGGUUGCUAUGAUGGGAACUCAGUCCAUCCAGCCACAUCCAAAAAAAUCAAGCAACGUGGUGGGAGCAAGUUAUUUGGAAACUCGGGGACAAACAGCAAAUAGAUUUUAAGGUGGAUGUCCAAAGAGUGCAAAGUGGGUCAGGAGGGCUAGAGUAGAGGACUGUAUUUUUUCAUUGUGGGUGUCUUGCCAAUGGGUUUCAGCCCUGAGCAAGUUCACUAUGGAUUCACUGGGACCGAAAAAUGACAGUAGAACAUUCCUGGGGUGAA